UACGAAGGGGGCUAGCGUUGCUCGGAAUCACUGGGCGUAAAGGGCGCGUAGGCGGAUGAUUAAGUCGGAGGUGAAAGCCCAGGGCUCAACCCUGGAAUUGCCUUCGAUACUGAUCGUCUUGAGAGCGGAAGAGGUUAGUGGAACUCCGAGUGUAGAGGUGAAAUUCGUAGAUAUUCGGAAGAACACCAGUGGCGAAGGCGACUAACUGGUCCGUUUCUGACGCUGAGGCGCGAAAGCGUGGGGAUCAAACAGG
rnacentral:misc_RNA from 1 species